CUGUAGCUCAGCUGGAUAGAGCAACGGCCUUCUAAGCCGUGGGUCGGGGGUUCGAAUCCCUUCAG
rnacentral:tRNA from 7 species